CCUACGGGAGGCAGCAGUAGGGAAUAUUGCUCAAUGGGGGAAACCCUGAUGCAGCAACGCCGCGUGGAGGAUGAAGGUUUUCGGAUUGUAAACCCCUUUUGUUAGAGAAGAUAAUGACUGUAUCUAACUAAUAAGCAUCGGCUAACGCCGUGCCAGCAGCCGCGGUAAUACGGAGGGUGCAAGCGUUACUCGGAAGCACUGGGCGUAAAGAGCGCGUAGGCGGGAUAGCAAGUCAGAUGUGAAAUCCUAUGGCUUAACCAUAGAACUGACUUUGAAACUGUUAUUCUAGAGUAUGGGAGAGGUAGGUGGAAUUCUUGGUGUAGGGGUGAAAUCCGUAGAGAUCAAGAGGAAUACUCAUUGCGAAGGCGACCUGCUAGAACAUAACUGACGCUGAUGCGCGAAAGCGUGGGGAGCAAACAGGAUUAGAUACCCCGGUAGUC
rnacentral:rRNA from 1 species